AAUCUUUUAGUUAAAUUGGAUAUAAUGAGAUCAUGCGAAGAUCUUAGUUAUGAGUUCGAAUCUCAUAAAGAUUG
rnacentral:tRNA from 1 species